GAUGAAGAACGCAGCGAAAUGCGAUAAGUAAUGUGAAUUGCAGAAUUCAGUGAAUCAUCGAAUCUUUGAACGCACAUUGCGCCCGCCAGUAUUCUGGCGGGCAUGCCUGUUCGAGCGUCAUUACAACCCUCAGGCCCCCGGGCCUGGCGUUGGGGAUCGGCGGAAGCCCCCUGUGGGCACACGCCGUCCCUCAAAUACAGUGGCGGUCCCGCCGCAGCUUCCAUUGCGUAGUAGCCAACACCUCGCAACUGGAGAGCGGCGCGGCCAUGCCGUAAAACACCCAACUUCUGAAUGUUGACCUCGAAUCAGGUAGGAAUACCCGCUGAACUUAAGCAUAUCAAUAAGCGGAGGA
rnacentral:misc_RNA from 1 species